AUCGUUUGGCGUAAGUUUCAGCUUGAAAAUCCAGAAGUAGUUAAAGUAAAAAAUUACCCAUUUGCCUACAUUUGCUUCCUAGAGUGAUAGAUGGAUCCACAAAUUUUAGAAAUUCUUGAAAAUUAUCCUAAUUUUCUUAACGACGAUUACUUUGUGGACUGUACGUGGGAAGAAGACGAGAUAAAUAAAAAAGCACCCUUUGUGCGAAUUCUACCAUGCCAUUUUGUCGUGAAACAUGUCUCCUACAUAAGAAAAAAAACAGGGUGCUACUUUAUAGUGAAAUAUAGUUAUAAUACGGAAGAAGAUUUGCCCACAGGAGACGGUUUAAAAGUGUUAGUAGAUCGGAUAAAAAAGUAUUCACCAUCAAAUACUGUUGUGGUGGACCACCAUAUAGAACCUCCAACAUAUAUUGUUAUAACCUAUGCAGUUUGCUGUAAGUGUACUAGAUUGGGUUUUAAAUAUCCCAUACAAACACCACAAGUAUGGGCUAUAAAAAGUGCUGUUGAAAAAUUUCACAUAUAAAGGCCAUUAAGAAUCAUUAACAUUAUCAAUAUAACAUUAACUACCCACUAAGCAAAAUAAAGUUACUAUAAUGUUACAAUUACAUUUUCCCUAACCAGGUAACAUUGAAGUUUUCGUGUUAGAUAAGUGGAAAUAAUUUCUUUGGAACUUCUAAUGUCCUCCCAAAACACGUUACUUUAACUACACCUAGUAAUGUUAUUUAUAAGUUGAUAGAAAACUUUCCAGUAAUGUUAAAAGUAAUUACAAUAAUUUACGUUAGUAAAACCUUUAGUAAUUAUAACUUUAUUACAACUUCUAUAAGUAAUGUUUAAAUAUGCACCUACUUUUACCACUUGUGUAAACGUUGUAAACAAGUUACUAUACUUGGUUUAUGAAAAUGUAUAUAAUUUUUUUGAAAUAUAUAAACUUUCAUAUUAUAUUUUUAUCUAAUUAAUAUCCAAAUGGUAUUGUAUCAAAGGUUUCUAGAAUAACUCUCUUGUCAUAAACAAAACCAAAUUCUUUUGUUUCUAUUUUAUUUAAAAGUUCUUUAGUUUUGGUAUCUCUGGUAAUUCGAUUAUAUUGUGUACUAAUUUUUUUGUCUUUAUAUUCUAAAAUAUUAUUUAUACUAUCGGAAUUAAUCUGUUCGGACGUUUCAUAGUUUAAUGUAAAUCCUUUUAUUUUGCAAACAACUUUACCUGUGUUAGUCUUAUAACAAUAACUUUUUGGGCCUGUUGAUAUCCAGUCUAUUAUCCAUACGCCUUUACCUAAUUCGUCUGUCCAAUCUCCCAAUAGACAGCCUGUUUUAACAGUGUUUUUUCCAUCAUCUAUAUAUACAAUGCUAUCUGUAUCAUAAUAUACUACACUUUCUCCUAAUAUGUCUAACAUUUCGUACAAUCUUAGUCUAGCAUUUGCAGUUGUAAAAGCAGCUAUGAAUAUAUUGGUAUUGAAAUUAUUUUCUACAUAGCAAUCUUUAUACUUGUAAUCAAUUUGUAACAUAUUUUCAUUUAUUUCAUUGAUAUGUAUAUUAUCAAGUCUGUCAUCUAAUAAAAUUUCAUAAAAUCUUUUAACA